rnacentral:rRNA from 3 species
AAAUUGAAGAGUUUGAUCAUGGCUCAGAUUGAACGCUGGCGGCAGGCCUAACACAUGCAAGUCGAACGGUAACAGGAAGCAGCUUGCUGCUUUGCUGACGAGUGGCGGACGGGUGAGUAAUGUCUGGGAAACUGCCUGGUGGAGGGGGAUAACUACUGGAAACGGUGGCUAAUACCGCAUAACGUCGCAAGACCAAAGAGGGGGACCUUCGGGCCUCUUGCCAUCAGAUGUGCCCAGAUGGGAUUAGCUUGUUGGUGGGGUAACGGCCCACCAAGGCGACGAUCCCUAGCUGGUCUGAGAGGAUGACCAGCCACACUGGAACUGAGACACGGUCCAGACUCCUACGGGAGGCAGCAGUGGGGAAUAUUGCACAAUGGGCGCAAGCCUGAUGCAGCCAUGCCGCGUGUAUGAAGAAGGCCUUCGGGUUGUAAAGUACUUUCAGCGGGGAGGAAGGCGACAAGGUUAAUAACCUUGUUGAUUGACGUUACCCGCAGAAGAAGCACCGGCUAACUCCGUGCCAGCAGCCGCGGUAAUACGGAGGGUGCAAGCGUUAAUCGGAAUUACUGGGCGUAAAGCGCACGCAGGCGGUCUGUCAAGUCGGAUGUGAAAUCCCCGGGCU